rnacentral:misc_RNA from 1 species
AACUUUCAACAACGGAUCACUUGGUUCUCGCAUCGAUGAAGAACGCAGCGAAAUGCGAUAAGUAGUGUGAAUUGCAGAAUUCAGUGAAUCAUCGAAUCUUUGAACGCACAUUGCGCCUCCUGGUAUUCCGGGAGGCAUGCCUGUUCGAGCGUCAUUAAAAUCACUCAAGCUUAGGUUUACCUAUUGCUUGGUCUUGGAGAUGGAAGCCAAUUUAUUGGAAUCCUCUUCGAAAUUCAAUGGCGAAGACCCUUGCUCUCCCAAGUGUAGUAAUAACUUAUGUCACUGAAGGAAGCGAGAAAUCUUCUGCCGUAACCCCCAUAUUUUCUAUGAUUGACCUCGGAUCAGGUAGGGAUACCCGCUGAACUUAAGCAUAUCAAUAAGCGGAGGCU